UCAUCCAAGCCUAACUCAGUUUCUUUCGCUUCUUUUCCGAUCGAUCUUUCUGCUGUGCUCUUGCCCCAGAUGACAGAAACCAUUUUAAACCCCGAACCUCUCCCCAUGUCCCCACAACCAGCGAUCAAAUUCACCGAGCAUGUAACCACUACCAGCAAGCUCAUCCCCAUCUCUUCAAGAACCCGGAAAAGACUCGUUAGAAUCAUCCUCACAGACCCCUAUGCCACUGAUUCAUCCAGUGAUGAAGAAGAUGAAGAAAAGAAGGAACCAAGGAAAGGAAAGAAAUUCGUGAAGAGAGUGAAGAGGCACGUCAGAGAAAUCAGCUUUAAGCAAACCAGACCAUCAGGUCCACCACCUUUUAUUGCUAAAAGGAGACCUUCGAGAUCUCCGGAAUCUGGCGUCACUUCCCGGAAGAAGUUCCGAGGUGUCCGUCAGAGACCGUGGGGCAGAUGGGCCGCCGAGAUUCGAGAUCCAAACCGCCGGAAACGGGUUUGGCUCGGUACCUUCGACACCGCUGAGGAGGCUGCCACUGUGUAUGAUAGAGCUGCAGUGAAACUCAAAGGCUCUAACGCCGUUACGAACUUUCCUAACCCCGCUAUGACGGAAGACAUAGGCAGUCAAAGGGAUGGUUGUGAAUCCUGCGAUUCACCAAGCGCCGUCACGUCCUCCCCUACGUCGGUCCUCGGAUAUGAAGGAUUAACGACGUUUGAUGACAAUUUCAGUUACGGUGACGUUGACGCUUUCGGAUUCGAUAUUGACGUGCCGUUAAAUCUAGCGGAUUUUAUGUCAUCGGGAAAACAUUUGGCCGGCGAAGAAUUCGUUGACCUCGAUGAUUUCUUGGUCGACGUUAUAUCCUAAGUAUAGUGUAAACAAUGUUCCUCAGUCACUGAUUUUGUCUAGGAAAUUUCAGCGAACAGGGUGCAGUAUUUGGUAAUUUCACUUUGCCGACGUGGCGUUUUACUAUUUGUUAUUAAGGGCGACUAAGGGAAACAAGUGGGCAAGUUGGUGGCGGAUUUACAAAAGUGCCCUCGUUGGUGGUUUUGGUUUGAUUAGUCAAACACUACGAAGUGUAAUUAAACGUGGAGUUUUAGCCGAUUGUAGGGAUUUAUACGGCGAUUUUGUCACGUGUUCUAAGUAUUUUUGUACUCGUAUAAUUAAAAUUAUAUAUUAUUAACUAUUUAAAUUAUUUAUGUAAUUUGGUGUGA
rnacentral:misc_RNA from 1 species